rnacentral:ncRNA from 1 species
UCGCUUGCCGAAGCCUAUGCAACCCUCACGGGGUCCGCGACUAUAAACAUAGGAUGCAAGUCGCGAUAGCGGCAACAUAAUCGAAUUGCGGGGAUCUCCUAAAGCCUAGCAGUACCAACACCCUCCAGAAAUGCAGGGUGGGCCAGCGUUAAUCACGCUGGAGGUCAGAAUCUGCGAGGAUGCCACAAUGGAUAAUCCGCAGCGAAGCCCCUAACGGCGCCAGCCUACGGGGAACGUUCACAGACUAAGUGGUUGUGGGUAGGCUCGUCCUGCUUAAGAUAUAGUCGGGCCCUGUAGGAAACUACAGGGACUAACCGUUCCGUAGGUGAACCUGCGGAAGGAUCAUUA